GAAGAGAAUGGAUAAUAUUACAGCAAGCGAAGCAGCUGGUUUAGGAGUGGGUGCUCUGCUACUUUGUGCCACCAUUUCUGCCCCAAAAAUCGAUGCUUUUUUCUCUUCUUCUCAGCGCAGUUCAUUGGGGAUGUGCAAGCGAUGUGGCAAUCUGAGGAGAUUGGCUUGCUCUAGAUGUAAAGGAACCGGGUCAGUCAAAGAAGGGGGAAUAUUUGGUGUUAACCUUAUAGACGAUUUGUAUGAAACACUAGGUAAUCGUGAAUCAAAGGUGAAGCAGAUAGCCUGUGUAAAAUGUCAAGCCAAAGGUUACUUUUCAUGUCCUGAUUGUUCUAAACAAUAAUCAGUGUGGUUUUAUCUUCUCUGCAUUGUGACCAUAAAUCCUCUUAGAUGGUGGUAUGUAACAGCAGUUUAUCUACUGCACAUGUGAAUUGGCUUUAUGCCUUAUUGCAAGAACAAAUAUACUCAGAAUACUGCUUGUUUGCCAGGAUUCCUGAAAAUGUCCCAAAAGAAGGGUUUAUAAAGGUGACUUAGAGAAGCCUUGUAGAUGGAAGUUUAUCUAGAGGCUGAGAGA